rnacentral:rRNA from 1 species
AUGUCCUCUUUAAUGUUUGCAUAUGCCCUACUGCAGGAUGAUAACAGGUACAGGAAGGGGUGCCCAUUUGAAUCUCAAGCAUGCAGAGAAAGCAGGGGUGCUUGUUCAAAAGAUUCCAAAAGCUACAUUUGUGCAGCUAUGAUUGACAACUUGAUAGACAAGACAUUUGCCUGGGAGGAUGAAAGCAAUACACCAUUUCUUUAUGACGUGGACCAGAAGAACAUGUACAAUCUAUUGCGUAAAGAGAAUGAGAUGAUAUUUGGGUCCAAGUCUGUUCCGAGGAAGAUAAGCAGUUUUAACAGGAGGACACCCAAAUGGGAGCGAGGCUGGUUUCAUGACUCCGAUGCCCACACCCGAGCUUUUGACACCACGCUCGUACUCUGGACGGUACAACAAUUACUUCAAGGAGAACCGGCGGAUGACGGCAGCACCACUCAACUUCUCGGCGGCUUCCAAGGAUGA